AUAAGCUAUCCUAGCUACUUGGCAAUUUUAUCACUACAGCAUGCAGGAGCUCCUCUUUGCUCCAAGGCCCCUCAUUCCAGACCUGCAGGGGAGCACAGGCUCUGCCCCAAAGACUUCAACAACAUGACUUCACCAUGAAGAAUACAUCCCUGAUUGGUACAGACACACAAGGAUUAAGAGGAUUCAUGUGGAUCUUACCGUCUCUCACUGUAAAUAUAAGAUCUCAAACUCUACAGAAGGGAAAGACUGAACAGAUACUGAGUCUAAAAACUCAUCCAUGGCAUGAAGAAAAACAAAAGUGAUAGAAUAACCAAAAAUGCAAUGGAAGCACAAAUAUCUCUAUGUCAAGAAUCUCAAUCUCGUGGCUCCUGCAAAUCCUCCUGGCUCCACUCUUUUCAUCAAAAUUGAGACAAUUUGCAACAGAAGAGGAUUGCCAACUCUUGGGAAAAAUAGGAGAUGCAGUAUCCUAUGAACUUCCUGAUAGUAAAAACUUCUUAGAGCCUCUGCUUCAAAUACAAGAAACUCUGGUCCCAGAUGUCACUAAUUGGGAACAGGUUAGCAGAGAGAUUUACACAGAGAUGCCUGAAGUUACAAAUCAUCAUGUGGGAUCUGACAACAGCCUGUUUCACUGGGCUGUUUCAUUUCAUUGUAUGUUAAUAAGCUUUAACCAGUACCAUGCAAAGCACAGAGGACACAUUUAAGCAGGGGAAUUACAUUAAUAUAGGUCUUUCUAAAAGCUCUUAGUGUUUGUAACAUACCAAGUACCAUGUAAAUAUCUCUCUUCUAGCCAGGGAUUCAGCAUAAGCACAAACUGAAAUGAGAAGUACAUUAAUCAGUGUCUUUUGUUUCUCAACAUCUGACAUUUAAAAACUAAAUUUAAGGAGUUAAAUGUCUUUCAUCAGAUCACUAGUUAAAAAACAUUUCAAAAUUAAUUUUCUCUAAUAAACACAUAUUUGGAGAGGGAAGGAAGAGUAAAGGGAAAUGCAAUUAGUUAUGAUGUAGAUUUGCUUUUGCUGCUGGAAUCAGCAGGAACGUUGCCAUUAAUUUCAAGGGUAGAAAGACUGAGCUAACUACAUUACAGUUGCACUAAAUGAAUAAACAGAAAUAUUUCCUGCCCACUGGAUUAAAACACUGCAUUAAAACACAAAUACUUAAUUUGAAAUCUAGUCUUUAAAAAAUAAAAUUAUCAAAUUACAAAUAAUCGAGACAGCUCUGCACAUUUACAUGCAAACUUAGUCCAGAGAUCACUGAAGUCAACUAACAAUUCUCAACACAUUUCAACUGGUUGAAAGUGCCAGAUAGCACUCACUAUUGGCCAGUUAUUUAACUAAGAUAUUAACACCUGUGUUCCAUUAGAAAUGUUUACUUCGAAUUUAUUAUAAGGCUUUUUUCCUACUAUACAAUAAAACCAUGCAAUUGCACAUACAAAUUCUGGCAUGCUCCCAAUGACAGUAUUUUGUGAGCCUUAUUGUCCAUUUUCCUGUGUUUCAUGUUAGUCAUUAGCCCUGGUGCUAAUUGUGAGUAAGACAGAAAACCAGUGGGAGUUGUCUUUCAUUUUCUUUUCAUUGUCUCAAAUGACUAUAUAAGAAUUUGGGUCCAUUGAAAUAUACUGCAAAAUUCUCCUUACCUCAUAGGAAAUAGGAUCCAAUCCAAGUUAUGUGAUUUUCUGCUGUGGAGAUUACUUUAGGCAUACUCUGCCCUUCAAAUAAAAUGAAAACUAGCAGGCAGUUAAUAUGCACACAUAUACUAACUAACCAUAUCAUUAUUAUUUUAACAUGGCAUUUGUUAAUGUGUAACUUCUUUUUCCUCUUCAUUUCAUGGUUGUGUGAAUAUUAAGAUCCACGUUUGAAUCAUGCAGUUGAAAUACACUGGUUUUGAAAAGAAAGGUUUUAAAUAGUGAGAUCCCAUUUUGGCUUUCAAGAUCACUUUUUGUCACUAGAUCCAUAACUUGAUAUAAUUAUUCUGACAGGUGACACCAGAGACUCUGACUCCCUUUCCUGUAAGAGAGGUCUUUGGCAUACUCUGAUGUAUUGUGGGAGCCACUGAUCUUUAUGGAAGAUAUAUCCCUGUGGAAGCAUCAGCUUAGGAGAAGGGGAGAUUAAAAUUAACUUUCACCAAAAAAUCAAGUUUUUCACUUAACAGAAAGUAAAUGUAAAUUUUUCACUUCGUGCAAUCACAAGCUGCAUUGAAUUUCAUGGAAUCAUCCUUGUGCUGUUUUAAAACUACUCUGUAAUUUUUCCGUUCAUUUAAUCCCUGGUUUCUGUAUUGGAUUCCUGUAAAGUCUCCAAACAGAAGAGCUCAGAAGGGUUAACAAUGCAUGUGAAAUGGAGAAAAGCAAACUGCCAUCUUCUUGUAACAAUUGCACAGAACAUGCAAGUCAGGACACUAACUUUUUACCAAGCUUUCUUAGAGAAUAUUUCAGGGUCUCAAAGGAAGUGCCUCAAGCACCCUCUCAAGCUCAGAAUGUCUCCUCUUCAAUAUUUAGGGAGGAGUGCUUAUGUCUGGCUUUGUGACAUCCAGAGUGCUCAAAGCAUUACUAGUAAUUACUAUGAGUUAUGAGUUAUACAUUAAAUGCAUAAUGGAAAUUAAUAAUGAGAUUACUGUAAGAAUGGAAAUCAUCAUCACAUUCUUACCAUUCUCCCAAACUUCCUGAAGUACAAAGCAAAGAAGAAACAGACCAAAACAUUUCAAAAGAAAUGUUUUUGUUUGUACCAAUUGUGUUUCCUUCUAAACAGCCAGUUUGGUUUCCCAGUGAGGAACAGGGAAAAUAAAUCUGUUAUGCUGAUCAGAAAUGUAAUUCUCAGGCUACAUUCAGUUCAUAUUAAAAGAUAUCCACACAAGCACAGGUCUCCAGUCUCUCCUUCUGUGGGGAAGACAAGGGAAUGAAAUUUCUGCUCUGAACUAAAAUUUUCAUUGCUGCUAAACCAGCUCUUUACAGCCCCUUUAGAAUCUAAAUUUCAAACAGAUUUGCCUAGCCCCUCUGAUGUAUUCAGGGCAACUUUUAAACAGUAAAAGAAAGGUAAUAUAGUGGAGCCUCUUUGGCAGUUUGCCUGAAUCCAAACACAUAUCAUCUGUUGGCAAGACAGAAAUGGUCUGGUUAUGUCAAAAGUGGCAUAUGUUACUUUGGGAAACAAAUUUCCUCUGCAGCAGGAAUUUAAGCACAAGUGCAGCUCCAAAGUAUCUGAACAGUGCUCUGAACUGAACAAGAAAAUGUGUUUGAAUGAAUGAAUGAAUGAAUGAAUGAAUGAAUGAAUGAAUGAAUGAAUGCCCAACACACAGGAAGGGAUGCAAUCUGUCUGAGGAUUCAACUAAUAUGUAGAAUGCAAAAAAAAAAAAAAAAUCUAAAUGCCAUCCUGCAAAACAGUUACUACCAUUGUUUAUUAUAGCUAAAGGAUGACAAAAAAUUAAAAUAACAAAAUUAUGAUCUAUGCUGCCUUUAAUUUAGACUUGAGUCUUAGGUGCACUGAUCUUGGGAGCAAAAUUCUCAGUGAAUGUUCCCUUCUUCACUCCAAGCUUCAAAAAUACUCUAAUUCCAACUUAAAAAUUUUGAGUUCCUGCACUUAAUAAUUUAUUAGAUAGGCAGACCAAGAAAUCAGCUGUCACAUACAACGUGAUAUUAUUUCAUUACACGUUAGUCUGACAUGAAAAACUAAAGUGCUUUGCUAACUUUACAGAUUAUUAUUAUUAUUAUUAUUAUUAUUAUUAUUAUUAUUAUUAUUAUUAUUAUUAUUAUUAUUAUUGGUAAGUAUAUAUUGCAGACAACAAAGAAUAUGAGCAAAAGACUUAGUGUAGUAAGAAAAUUUCUAAUUUUGUCAGAAAUGCUGUAAUGUAUUGCUAGAUAUAACAUAUCCUUGUACAUAUAUAAAAAGAUAUUAAUUUCAUAAUCAGUCAGCAGGAGUCUUUAGGCGAACUCAGCAUCCUAGAGUGCCAACUAUAAGCCUCAUUUAACUGUAAACCAAGCAGGAAUGUUAAUGAUGGACAGCAUGCUAGCACCUGGAUAGACAGGGAAUUUUCAUGGAGUAGACAGUGAAGAGUGAUUUCCCUAUUUACCCCUUCAUUAGUAGCUUUAUGCUAAUAUAACAAUAUUACUUUCAAAAUCCUAAACUUGCAGAAAUCUUAUGAAGUUGAACAAAAAAGAGGAUUAAUUGCUAUUAAGAGAACUAAGCUGAAGUUAAUAAUGUAAAAUAUACUUUUCUUAAAUCCCUGGAAUCCAUAAAAGGAAACUGUGUUGUGGCUGUGGUGGACUGAAUGUUAAUCUAACACAUAUGCUUUGCAAAUGCCCUUUCAUACAUAAAUUCUCAGAUGAAAUGUUUGAAAGCAUUAUUAUAAUCUUGUACGGGAAUAUUCUUCUAGGUCUUAAACUGGGUAGUUUUUAAGAAAUAUAUGCCUUAAGGAAUCACAUAAUUUUUUGUUGAGUUUUAGCUGACAAAAAAAACCCCAAGCCCCAGUUGGUUCUUCAGAAAUAACCCUUCUAAAGGGUUUUGCAUUCUAGAGUGCUAUAGCAACCUCAAUGAGUCAGCAAAUGAAGAAAGUACUAUUCUGCUUGAAUGAACAUCAACUGGUUUUGAAGUCCUUUUCCUCAUACCAGGCUUUUAAAACAGAAACAUGAGUUUCUACUCACACUAUAUUGAAAAUAUGUAUGGCAGAUAAAUAACCUUAAAAAAAUAACAGAAGAUAUACAUCCCUAAUUUAAGUGCCAAAGUAAAUGUAAUUUUUACUGUAAUCAAUACUCUCUGUAUAGUUUCUUAUGCCUCAGUUUUCAGUGACAACAAAUAUAAUGAAGUGUCUAAAGCAGACUGCAAUUUGGUCUGAUUUGGAAGCCAUUAAGUCCAUUCAAGUAAUUUUGGAAGUCAUUAAGUUCCUUAGUAUUUUAUGAAAAUAUCAGCCCUAAAUUCUUUCUUGGAUAGCUAAGUAGUCUAAUAAUACAGUGAACCACAUGCCCCAAACAGGUGAUUUUGGUCUUAAAUUGUGUGAUUUCAGUCUUCAUUGUUUUUUAAAAAGAAACACUUCAUUUGCACUUCUUAGGAACAGGAAUUCAAGCCAGGGGGCCAUUAAGACUGGUAUAUUUUUUCUAGCUGUAGCUGUAAGUGGAUGCUCAGUGAAGAGCAACAGAGAAAAAACAGAGUUUUCCUACAGAGGUCCCUCAGUUUCCAGUUAUAUACAGGUCACAUGAUUUCCUAAGAUUACUGGAUUUUUUUCUGUUUAGUCAUCUUAAGUGGAUUCCUCUUCAAAGUGUUUGUCCACGUCCCCCUAAAGUCCACAUAAAUAUGAGCAUCUGCAAUGCUUCCUGGUGAGCAGUUCCAUGGGGCUGCUACUCUUUGCAUAAAGAACUGCCAUAUUGUAUUUGUUCUGAAAUCAGCUUCAUAUGAUGGUCCUUAGUUUUUCUAUGGAAAGAGACAGCAAACAGCUGACCUGCAUCAACUCUCCCUGUGAAAGCCAGGAUCCUGUGGAUUUCUUAUCAGCCCUCUAAAUCAUCCUUUUCUGAGUUAAAAAUGGCUAGCCUAAUAAUCCACCCCUUCUAGAGAAACUCCAUACUUUUGUUACCUUUUUUGCCUAUGCUGAAUAUUUUCAAGUUUUAGUAUAUUCCUUUUUGAGAUCAAGAGAUCAGAACUUGCACACUAUGUAAAAAACCAUCAUUGAAAUAUAAAGGUACAUGGUGGCAUAAUGGUGUUCUCUGUUUUGUUUUCAGUCCUGAAAGUGCCUAACAGUUGCUUUGGUUUUAUGACUGUCACUGAGCAAUGAAUCAAUGUUUUAUGAAACUAAAGAUCAUAACCUCGGAAUCUUGCUCUUGAGUGGGAACAGCUGGUUCAGUUUUAUGUGACUCCUGAGUUGUGUCUGCCAUGUGUUUGAUUUCACAUUUAUUUACUCUGAAUUUCAACUGCCAUUUUGUUGCCUGGUCAUUUAGUUCUGUAAGCUCUUCUUUACCAUCUCCUCUUCUUCCCUCUAUCCUGAAUUACUUAGUAUCUUCCAAACUUUUAACUGAAUUUUCACAUCUGCUUCUAGGUUAUUUAUGAGUACAUUGAAGAGAGUAGAUCUUAGCACAGAAAACUCCUGAAAUUUGCAAGUGACUGUUCCUUGUAAAAACUACAUUUUAGACUUAUCCUCCUUAGCCAAUAUUUUAGGUGACUUUUUAGCUAAGCAAGACCCUUCCUUUUUGGUCUGUGCUGAUUAAUUUUCUUAAAAGCUCUCAGUUACAGACCUCUUUAAAUGCACUGCAUAUCUACAUGAACUAUGGCCUGAAAUAACAACAUGGUCCACAACAGCACUGAUCCUCUGAAAGAUCACCCAGAGGUCCAUAAGGCAAAAGUCUCUUGAUUCUCUUACAUAGAUCAUAUUGAGUUAGGUUUCCCUGUUUUAAUUUUUAUUAUGAAUUUAUAACUGAAUUCUGCAUGGAACAGAUCACUGCACAUUCCAAACCCCAAAAGGUACUGUUUUCCAAAUGUGAGGCAAAGAAAGAAAGAAAGGCACUCACUCAGGGAGAUUGUGGCUGCCCCAUCCCUGGAAGUGUUCAAAGCCAGGCUGGAUAAAGCCUUUAGCAACCUGGUCUAGUGGGAGGUGUCCCUGCACAUGGUAGGUUGGAACUAUAUGAUCUUUAAGGAGCAUUCCAACCCCUUAACAUUCUACAAUUCCAUGAUUCUAUGAAGCUGCCUUGAUUUGGACUUGAUGAUCUUGGAGAUCUUUUCCAACCUUAAUGAUUCUGUUUACAAGGGUGGUAAACUGGAUUGCUUGGCUUUUACUUUCACUGGAAUGUACCAUUCUGUAAGCCAAAAUCACCUUUUACUGAAAACAUA